GGGUGCGUGGCGGAAUUGGUAUACGCGUACGCUUCAGGAGCGUAUGCCGCAAGGCUUGAGAGUUCAAAUCUCUCCGCACCCA
rnacentral:tRNA from 1 species